UAAUGUUCAUGUAGCGAACACCACAAAAACCACUGAUGUGGCCCUUUAAAUCUUUGUGAAUGUCAUAUCUGUGCUUUUGUUUUCUAAACGUGUGAUUUUUUAAAUGAAAACUUUAGUAUUCUUUUAAAACCUCAAUAGUACUGUUCAGGUGUCCCACCUGUGUUUUUAUUGUUCAAAGUAUCAUGUUAGCUUUACUAACAGAUAGGACAUUCAGUAUGAAUCCGUUAGUUCCCCAGGCCUGCAGCGAUGUGCUCGAACACCGUUACCUCUUUGAUUGUUUGUUGGGACGCUUGAUUCCUGAUGGUGCUAUGCUAACGGUGCUAACCUUGCAUGUAAAGUUGGGUUUUGGUUUUGUCUUUUUUUACCUCUGCCUUUAACUGGCAGCAGCUCAAAGUGAACUGUUGUCGUUGGCUGUUGUUAUAUCGUGUGUGGAUUGGUUUUUUAUGAAAUGUGAUGUGGGGAAGUAUUAGUGCGACGUAAAGCUCUACUCCCUGGUGAAAAGAACAAAUGACAUGUCAGGACAAUUAAUACAAGUUUAACGGGGAUUAAACUUGGGAAGU